CUUCAAAGCCAGAGGGCUAUUAAACCUGAUUUAGGCUCAGGAGUCCCCAGCAGUACUGAAAACAGGUCACCUUUAGAAAGAGAUGAGAGCAUCUCAUGAAGGCUGCAGGGUUUCAGUGCAGCAGGGUCUUCUCUUCUGCCUUAGAGGCAAGUCUGAGUUCAGAUGACAUCAAUCACCAACAGAGACAGUGAUCAACAGAAGGAAACAAGCAAGAAACAAGAGUUGCCCUUGACUUCUUGGCCUGAGAACUGGGCAGGACCAAAUGUUCCUGACAGAGAAGUAAUAGGAGCCACAAUUAAAUGCAUCAGCUUCAGAGACACUGGCUAAGUGUAAGAACUGAGAAACAAUCAUGGGUGUUUCAGGGCAGUGCCCCUGCAUGCCUUCCCACCCAUCCCUCAAUUGAUUCUGGGCAGAGGUUCACAUGGGUAGGGAGUAGGAGUGGAUUGAAUGGAAUAGGGAAGGUGAAAUAAAAGAGUUGUAAUACUGAAAGCACUACAGGAAUAUGCAAACACAAAAACAUUCUACCUUUGAGCCUAAAAUCCAACUGGACAUUUGGAAAGUCACUCCAUCAGCGGCCAAGGGACAACCAGAUCUACGCCAGCAGAGGGCGCUGAGGAGAAGGAGAGACGCUCGGCCGCAGAACAGUGUUACUGCCCAGAGCCCACGGGAAGGUGCCCUGAGAAGAGUGCAGGACAGAAGAAAUCAUGUUUACUUAGGGGCUGUUGAAAGCCAUGCAAUGUACACACAACAGUCUAAUGGCAAGGAAAGACCACAGGGCACCGGAGCAAGAGGAUAAGCGAGGCAAACAUGCCCGACACUCAGAGACUCUGCCAGGGAACUGGAGGCCUGUGAAUCCAGGGACCCCGCUGCUGGAGGUUCUGGGAAAGUCUAAUAUAUGGCCAUUCACCAUUGUAGACAGAGACUUCUGAUUGUGCCCAGUCAGUCUGGUAUUGCCGAGAAAACUUUAGUCACACUUUCAUACACAGCCCCUCUGGGGCAGAUCAGAAGAGCUCUCCCUCUCCAUCCAGGAAUGAAACAGGAAUGGAAUAACUGGCCAUGCGGUCCAAGAGAGAGGCAGCCAUGCAGGUGGCUGCAGGAAGAAAGAGUGAAGGCUCCUGUGUGAGGCACGUGGAGCAGAUGGAGCCAUCUGAAUAGGUUUGAGAAGCCACUUCCUAUUCUCUGGCCAAGGAGAAUUAUGGAUUGCAAUGGGGAUACUUGAGCCAGAGCAUGAACAAACAUUAGGAGACAAGCGAGCACUCAAAUGGAGCAGACAGUGAUCAUGGUGAAGAAUUAUCUUGAGAUUCACCGGGGUUUAUCAGAAAGUAAGAAACAUGAGCGGGCAACUGAUUUAAUUGCUAUAAACAAAAAUAAAUAGCAAAGAAGGAACCGGCACACUGAACCAGGACACGACACCACAACAAAAAGCUGGAAGUCGUCUUUCUGAUAUUUUAGUCUCUAACGUCGUGUGCAAGUCUAGAAAGUGUAUUUCUUGGUAUGAGUGAGUACGACGUAAUGGACCGCGUUCCUGCUCGUCUCCGCCCUCUAAACGUGUGGGCUUCCACGGUAAGCCCAACAUCCUCUUCAUUCAGGACCCGGCAGAAGAGUUAAGGGAAGGCGCCGCCAUUUCCCUGAGAAACUGCUUAUUACCAUGAGGACGUGGUUGACGGCGAUUGACAACCCUGCCCACCUGCAUAAACCUUGCCCCUAUUAACACCAGGGGAAAAACCUGUGGGGAGGCCCAUUCUCACUCAUCGCAGCGCGUCUCCAACGCUACUAGCGGACCGCCCUCUAUUCCCUAACCCUUGGGGAAGACCGCCAGGAGCCCCAUCACCCCAUCCAACAGUGCCAGCUCUGUGCUUGUACGCCGCCUAUUUCUUCUACACUCAUCCUCUGGCUGGUGGCGGCAGCAAAUUCCUCCGCAUCUUUGUGAAUGAGGCCUCAUGAAGUCAUUCAAUGAACCUAGAACCUGCACUAA
ensembl:lncRNA